GCCCCACACCAUGCCCAUCCCGCUCCUGGCCCUGCUCCUGGCCCUGCUCCUUGCCACCACCCUCCCCGGGCACCCCACCGACGCCACCGUCCCCCGGGACCCCCUCACCGACGCCGUCCCCACCAGCGCCCGCCCUUGCGCCCAGCACACCGGCCGCUGCCGCCGCGUCUGCCUCGCCCACGAGCUCCAACGGGGACAUUUCGGUUGUCCCCGGCGCUACCGGUGCUGUGUGCCCAAAAUGUAGCGGCGGGAUGGACUGGGAGGCGACGAUGCUCAGGGCCAUCCCGCAUCCUGCCCCAGCAGAGUCGCCUCCCUUGGGAUUUGCCCAAUAUUGAGUGGAUUUCACCCGUCUGGGGAGGGAGGAUUUGGCAGCAGCGCGGGGAUGUGAAGGUGCCAUCACUGUCAGGAUGCCACAACCUGUCCCUUAUGGAGCAGAAUAACCCCCCCCCCCUCAAGAUCUGAGUGCUUUUUCCCACGGGAAUAGGGGGUGAAACUCAGCCUGAACCAGCAAAGUGAAGAGAACGGGAUAAAAAAAAUGUUAAAUAAGGGGACUUCUCUCUCUGCCAUAUGCGGAGACACACACACACAGAGGAAUCACAGAUAUUUUUAACUAAAAAACAUUUUGGGGUAUUUUCGCUCCAGGGGACCGGCUGCUCUCAAUGGCACCUCUGCAUUUUUGCUGCUGCCAGGGGAAAAAUACCGAUUUUUGGUGAAGCAGCAGCAUUUUGGGUGCCAUGUCGUCAUCCUCCCCCAGGUUACCAACAACAUCUAUCCGACGGGUGAUUAAAAAGCCAAGCGUUAAUUAAAUAAAAGCUAUGCGAUGCCGAGCCUCCGGCGCAUCCAGAA